GGUUUCUUGCGUUAACCGUUGUAAGGAACUGAAAGUGCAGUUGCACUGGUGCCCUGUGGUGAAGACAUACAUCAGAAAUACCAGAGCUACACCGUACAGAUCAAAAAGGAAGAGUUUAAUACAAAACUUGGUGUAGUAUCUUUACGGAGGAGUCACAGCAGUGAGAGGAAACACUGGGGCUGUGAGAGGAUCCUCUUGGAUCAGAGCGGCUUUAGCAGGAGCCUCUGAGAGCAGGGAGGUUAAGAGAGGAGCUCUGGGACUCGAGCAGCCUUGAACUGUUCUUUACCAUCAUGAUGAGAGGAACAUCAGUGUGACCCGGUCAAUCAUCUCGGAAACCUCUUCUGGGGUUACAACAGCAGCAGGAAUAUUCAGGCGGGGACAAGAAGCUCUGGAAAGGACCCUGUGGAGUGACCUCUGUGGUGCCUGUGACCUCUCUGGGCAGAAGCAUUCACACUGAAUUAUGAAGCGGCUCUGACAGGAUUUGGAUCCAGACCCGUGACAUGAACCUCUGGAUAACUCCAUUAUUAAUAAUAUGAUUGGAUGGUUCAGUAUUUAACAAGCUAAACACUAAACUACUAAAAAGCUAAUUACAACUAAACUACAGGUGCUUCUCAAUAAAUUACAACGUCAUGGAAAAGUUCAUUUAUUUCAGUAA